AUGUCAAAGAGUAUUAGCGCCAUCGAGCUUGCAGAGAUCGGCAUCAAGCUGACAGCCGGCAAGACGGCAAAGUUCAUGGACACAGGCAUCAAGAAAGGAUUCCUCUCUGCUGAGAUCUUCCUGCCGCCUUUGCUGCUGGACGAUAUAAGGUCCUGCUGGCUUGUCAACAUGGCGGCUUUUGAGGUAUGCCUGGGCAUGGAAGCAGGUGCUCGUCAAAGCAAGGCGGUCGUCUGUUCCUACCUUGCUGUCCUCGCGAUGCUCAUGGAUCGGGAGGAGGACGUGCACGAGCUACGAUCCAAGCGUCUGGUGCAGGGAGAACUCACCAACAAGGAGACGCUCGAUUUCUUUAAGAAGCUUGUCAAGUGCAUAAGUGGCGGUCCCCUCUAUGUUCACAUCAUGGAAGAGGUUGAGGCCUACAAGCUCAAUAGGUGGAUCUGGAUCAAGGUGCAUCAGUUCGUCUACAAAAACUUAAAAGCAAUCGUCGCGCUGCUCUCCAUCGUCGGUGUUCUUGUCGGCAUCUUCAAGACUCUCCUCUCUAUCAAGAAACACUAG
rnacentral:rRNA from 1 species